UUGGGGGAGCUUCAGGGGUUUGCUUGGGGUCGGGGACAAUGAGCUGAGUAGAAAGGAGCCCCUUGGUGACAUCUGGGAAGGGGUGUCUUAGACAACUGUCCACCCUCCUGCUGCCUGGAGGAGUCACUGCCCAGCCCUCACAUGCAUGGCCGCUCCGCCCUGAGGAAGCUCUGCAAACUUGGGAGAGGCGCUCCACUAGAGGAAGUGGGUUUUCUUUAGCUGAUUUUCAGGAACUCGCCAGGCCUUUCUUCCUAGUCCGUCCUAGUCUGGAAGUCCACUGAAACCUGUUCGGCAUCAUAGCAACAGGCAAGCCUCAGCCGACAAAUGGGUGGUGGCUGCACCUGAGGCGUGUCAGCUGGGAAUCAAGCCCGGGUCUCCUACAUGGAAGGCGAGAAUUCUAGAGGAGCCAACACAGCCUCACGUGUUAUCUCCCAAAGGGUGAAGAACACAGCUGGGACAGGGAGACAGUGCCGAGAAGUGACACCAAACAUUGGAUGCCCUACACACCUCCACCUCCUUUUCCCACACUACAAGUGAUUCUCCUGCUUGUCUUGAUGGGCGAGAAAGAAGGUUCCGGAUGACAGUCCCCCGGGGAACUGGAGGUCAAGGAAAAUGAGCAAACCGCUACCCAAAGACAGACCCCAUCGUGGAUCCUCUCAUUUAAUCUCCACUAAUUUUUUUUUUAAACCGUAAGAGUAAGUGAGAGAGAAACCGAGGUAUAGGGUGGCGGGGGAGUGGAGUCAGGGACCAUCAGCCCUACAGAGGGAGGCAGGGUUACAGCCGGGUCUCCUGGGCACUUGAUCUUGAGGGGAAGAGGGGUAAACAGCCAGGCCUGACCCACCUCCUCAUAGAGUUAAAAAGAAAUCCAGAAACAACCCAGGGGUGACCCCAUUGGCCAGAAUGCUGCCCAGCAGGGGCUUGUCCUCCCAGGCCUCAGGGGCCACAUGCUUCUGAGCCGCCCCCACUCUCUGUCUUUCCUGGAUGCUCAUGCUGAGAUGAACACCUGACUCAAAGGUAGCCAGCCACAGGUGGACCCCCAGGCUGACUAGUGAGACCUGGCUCAAAUGGGUGAGCUGGGCCAUUGAAGGAUCCCUGGUGGCGCAGUGGUUAAGCGAUCGGCUGCUAAUCAAAACUCAGCAGUUUGAAUCCACCAGGUGCUCCUUGGAAACACUAUGGGGCAGUUCUACUCUGCCCUAUACAGUCAACGACGGGUUUGGUUUUUGGUUUGGGGCCAGCCCAGGAAUGUGGAACCAGGAACCUGUUUGGUAGAGGGCCCUGAAGCUUGGAGGUCAAGCAGACUUGGGGGAUGGGUAAGAUACUGGGGGGCCACAUGCAAUGUGAGAGAUGAAAGAAGAGCAGAGUGCACUAGCAGGGGCCCCUGAGAAAGGAAGGCAGGGAGAGGAUAGCCAGCACCCACGCUACUUCAAUUCCUGCCCUUCCCAAUGCCUCAGCAGCCCACAGGCUGGCUGUCCCUGCGGCAGGGCUUCCAAGAACUGACUCGUCAGGCUGUUGUUUAUUUAUUUUAAUCUCACACAGAAUUGCACUUAUUAGAAAAGAAUUUAAUGUCUCAUUUUUUUCCUCGAACCAUUGUGAGUGGGUUUCCUACCUUAAUACCAGAAGACCCCUAAGACAAGCCAUGAGCCCCCGUAGUCGGCUGAACGAUGCUCCCAGGGACACCAGUCUUAAUCCCCGGAACCUGUGAAUGUGAACUUAUUUAGAAAAAGGGUCUUUGCAGACGUGUGUAAGGAUCUUGAGACGGGGAGAUAAUCCCAGGUCACCCAACUGGGCCCUAAGUGUAAUCACGAGAGUCCUCAUAAGAGGGAGGCAGCAGGAGCUGUGAACACAGUGCAAUAUGGCAACGUGAUGAUAGAGUCAGAGAUGGGGACGAUGAGGCCACAAGCCAAGGAACACCAGCAGCUUUUAGAAGCUGGAAGAGACAAGGAACAGAUUCUCCCAGGAGCCUCCAGAAGCAGCCUGCCCUGCCAAUACCUUGACUUUAGCCCAGUGAGCCAGAUUUUUGGACUUCUGACAUCCAGGACUGUAGAAGAAUAAAUCGGUGUUGUCUUAAGCCACUAAAUUUGUGGUAACUUGUUACAGAGGCAAUAUGAAACCAACAUAGCCUCUCAAUCCUCACCACGACCUGGAAUAACUUCGUUUUGCAGAUGAAGAAACACGGGGUCAGAGCUGGGAAGGGAACCUACUCAAGGCUGCGUAGUUCAAGCCAGGGUGGGGAUAUGGUGCCCAGCCCCCAGCCUGGGGUAAGUCAGACUGUCCAAGGCUGUAAUCCUUGGGGUUCUCUGAGCUUGACCAGUAAACUGUGCUUGGAGUUGGCUCUGACUCAUGACUCGUGUCAGAGUGCAACUGUGCUCCAUAGGGUUUUUGAGGGCUCAUAUUUUAAAAGCAGAAUGCCAGGACUUUCUUCCAAGGCACCACUGGGCGGACUCGAACCUUCAACCUUUCUGUUGACAGCUGAGUGCAUUAGCCAUUUGCAUUACCCGGGGAUUCCUGCCCAUAAAGACUCAUCCCAAAGCUGAGGAAGUGCCCCCCAUCCCUUGCUGGGCCACCAGGCCAACAGGUAGUGGUUGACAAGGGGUCCUGUGGCACCCUUGAUGAGGAUGCCCAUAAGCCAUUUGCCCAGCUGCCUGUGAGUGGUGCCUACUGUCCUUCCUAGUGACCCUCCAACAGAAGGGUGGCCAAGGUAGGCAAUGGCAUUGGCCAGCCCUUCUGUCCUGCACAGGGGUCCUGACUCUGGAAGCCACAAAUGCAGUCAGGUCCCUGGACUCCAACAGAGCCCACUGGGAGAACGGGGCUGUCUCUGAGACUGUCACCCGCCCCCCAGCAAAGCAGGGGCACCCACAUGCUUCCUGAGAACACUGCUAGCACACAGUAGCAUCAGCAGAAACCAGGGGAUGUGGUUUCCACGGGGCCUUCUCACACACACACACACACACACACACACGCACGCACGCGCGCACGCGCCUGAAUGCACAUACCACCCCUUCACCCGCAGUCCCCCAGCUUGCACUGUCCUCCCGCCAGGCCCCGGCGAGGCUCUGCGGAUCAAGAGCAGAAAGCUCAGCCUCCUGCCAGCUCCUUUCCAGCUCACCCGGGGCAACACCCCACACGGGACAGAGCAGAUGCUUACAGUCAGAUGCCAAGUAAAAUAUCGUUCCCUCAACUCUGUGGACCGGCACUGGGCUCCCCAUGCUGGAGGGGCGGGGGGCUGGUCAGGUUAAAACUGCGGUGAUGUGGGUACCAGGGACACACAGAUACACCCGGCACCAGGCCUUCACACCAGCAUACCCUAGAAAAGGCACCAGGAGCGGCAGGGUCCUGGGAUGGGAAGGCUGGGAGGACCCCUAUGCUGCCCCAGGGCAAAGGCCAGGCCCCAGGAAUGCAAAGUCGGGGAGAGGAGAACCCUCAGCAAAGCUUCUCUGAGGCAUUGUGCUUGCUGUUUUGUUACUGGGUUGUUGUCUUUCUCUUUCUUCUGGUUCCUUCUCCCUCAGCAAAGGGAACAGUUCAGGCUGCCCCUUAAAACACAAGCAAACCCCCUUCCUUUGGUGGAGCUACUUCUUCACACUACGGACUUCUCCCUCUCUGAAUAGCCAAGCCUCUUAGAAGCUGGUCUAUACCCGGCCCUCAGCUCCCCACUGCCCACUCCCUCCUCACCCCUACCCUCUGGCUUCUGCCCACACUGCUACUAAAACUGAGCUCUUGGAAAAAAACCCUCAUCAUCAAAACCCAGUUCCACCCUAUUUGACCUCUAGGGCGGCAUUUGGCAUGCAUUAACCACCUCCUCCUUCUGGAAGCUUCUCCCCACCCCUCCUCCCAGGCCCCUCCUGGCAAUGUCUUCUCCACACCCCCCAGGGCAGGGGUUAGAUAGCACACAAGGACCUUCUUCUCCCCUUGACUUAGUCUCCUAGGACCAUCUCACUUCCACCCUCGUUUCGGCCAUCACCCCCAAACUGACAUCUCUAUCUCUGGUCGUGACUCCCCAGCUCAGCCCACAUCCCUACAGAGGGCAGGCAGGUCAAUCCACCCUCUUCACAGCCUCAGUUUGCCCUCUGCUCAAGAGCCACUCGUUUUUCUGCAGUCAGGUUUCCACUCUGGCCUUUCCCCAGCCUCACCCCUCCAGCCCACUGGCGGCCUCUCCCCAGUGUGUCUCAAAUCGAUCCCUUCCUGUCCAGCCACCUAAGGUC